rnacentral:lncRNA from 1 species
AUAAAUUUCAGGUUACAUCAUUAUAUUUCGACUUCUGUAUAGACAACAUUGUAUUCACCACCAGAAGUCUAGUUGCCAUCUGUCACUAUACACAUGUGCCCAUUACUCCUUUUGCUCUCCCCCCCAUUUAGCCUCUGAUUUGAAAAGAUAUCUGUACCCCUAUGUUCGCUGCAGCAUUAUUCACAAGAGUCAAGACUCGGACACAACCAAAGUGUCCAUUAACGGAAGAAUGAAUAAAGAAGAUGCGGGGCCACUCAGGAUCUGUCAGCAGUGGUUUCAGAGAGCACAAGGGAGAACAGUAGCUGCAGCAGCAAGGUAGAAAAUGAGUGUGGAGCCGAAGUGCCAGACCACGAAACGGAGUCUUCCAGGUGUAACUGGAAGAAAGGAAGUGUGAAAUCAACAAGACGAAGAGAGAGUUUCACACUUCAAUCCUCAAAUCCUCGGCCUCUAUACCACAUAAUGCCUCUGGGUCAAAUCUCAGCAAACUGAUAAAUUGCCUUCCUUACUUCCAUGACUGGGCACCACUCUGUCCCUGCUCUUCUCAUUCAACUACAUACCACCUAAUAAGGAGAUGGGGAAUAAGCAAGGGGCCACCAGGAGGGUUCAUAGUAGGAGAGGAAAGGAGAAUUAGACAGUGGUGCAGAGAAGUGGCUGUGACCCUGAAGGUAAUGACAGACCACUAUUUUCCCUGAUUCCUACCUUGCACGAACCUUUCCAUGAGGAUGUGUGUAUUGUUUAUAUAUAUUUUUAAUUUUCUGUAUAUCAUAAUGUUUCUGCAUUUUAAAACCUUUCUGGCUAGGGAGAGACUGCCCCUUCUGUAGCUAAAGGACCGAGCCCAAAGCAUGCCUUUGAUUUGCAAAUUAACCAAUCUGAAUUUGGAUUUGGAACCAAUCAAAUUAACCAAUAUCAGCCCCGUGCACUCCAGGAGGCAAUAUGCCUUUGCCUUAAUCAUCCCAGGGCCAGGUACCAGGCAACUAGGGACCACCCAUACAGCUGGGAGCCCACUGAAAUCAUUCAAACUAGUCAGUCCUAAACUCUUUACCCUGCCACGCCUUGCCUUUCCCUUGGAACCCCCAAUAAAGGGUCUAGCCUCAGCUUUCCCAUCACUCUGCUCCUGCUUUCUGCCUCCUCACUACCCUGAGUCUUCCCCAGGUGGCUCCGUAUUGUGUGCCAG